rnacentral:rRNA from 1 species
GACGAACGCUGGCGGCGUGCUUAACACAUGCAAGUCGAACGGAAAGGCCCUGCUUUUGUGGGGUGCUCGAGUGGCGAACGGGUGAGUAACACGUGAGUAACCUGCCCUUGACUUUGGGAUAACUUCAGGAAACUGGGGCUAAUACCGGAUAGGAGCUCCUGCUGCAUGGUGGGGGUUGGAAAGUUUCGGCGGUUGGGGAUGGACUCGCGGCUUAUCAGCUUGUUGGUGGGGUAGUGGCUUACCAAGGCUUUGACGGGUAGCCGGCCUGAGAGGGUGACCGGCCACAUUGGAACGGGGAUACGGCCCAGACUCCUACGGGAGGCAGCAGUGGGGAAUAUUGCACAAUGGGCGGAAGCCUGAUGCAGCACGCCGCGUGCGGGAUGACGGCCUUCGGGUUGUAAACCGCUUUCGCCUGUGACGAAGCGUGAGUGACGGUAAUGGGUAAAGAAGCACCGGCUAACUACGUG